rnacentral:lncRNA from 1 species
AACCAGAAACUGGAAACAACUGAAGAAUGGAAAGAAAGAAACAAACCAACAAAAAACAAACCAUGUGGUUCAUUUAGACAAUGAAAUACUACCCAACAAUUAAAAACAAGGACAUCAUGAAAUUUGCAGGCAAAUGGAUGGAUCUAGAAAGUAUCACCCUGAGUAAGGUAACCCAGACCCAAAAAGACAUGGAUGGUACAUACUCGCUGAUGAGCUAUAAAUUAAAGAACACCCACACUAUAAUCCAUAGACCCAAUAAAGCUAAAUAACAAGGAAGGAUGUGUGAAUCUCACUCAGAAGGGGAAAUAGAAUAGUCAUUGGAGGUGGAUGGAUGGAGGGCGCUGGGUGGGAGAAGAGAUGGGGACAGGAAUAGGGGGAUGAGAUCAGGUAUAGGGAGAGAGGGCCUAGAGAGUGAUUGGAAAAUGGUGGUGGGGGAGGGGCAAACACAUCUCUAGGACAUGCCAGAGAUCUAGGAUGGGAGAAGUUGAGACUCUUAGUGAGGGAUAUGGAGCCUGAAGUGGCAACCUCCUGUAGCCAGGUAGGACUCCCAAUAGAGGAAUAAGGAUACCCACCUUCUCACAAAACCUUUGACUCAAAAUGUAUCCUGCCUGCAAGAAAUGCAGGGAUAAAGACGAGCAGAGACUGAGGGAAUGGCCAACCAAUGACUGGCCCAACCUGAGAUCCAUCCUAUAGGCAAGAUCCAACAGAAGCCUAGCAUGUCUCUACUAUGAAAGGCUCCAUCCAGCAAGUUCCUGAAAUACAUGCAGACACCCACAGUCAAACAUUACACAGAGCUUGAGAAGUCUUGUGGAAGAGUUGGAGGAAGGAUUGAGGGACCCAAAGAGGAUAAGAACUCUACAAGAAGACCAACAAACUCAACUAAUCUAGACACUUGUGGGCUCCCUGAGAUUGAACCAUCAACCAAAGAACAUACAAGAGCUGGACCUAGGCACCCUAUAUGUCUGUAGCAGAUGUGCAACUUGGUUCUCCCAUCAACUGGAGCAAGGGCUUACUCUGACUGUUGCCUCCCUCUGGAUCCUAUUCUCCUAACUGGGCUGUCUUGUCUGGCCUUAGUGGGAGAGGGUGUACCUAGUUUUACAAUGGCUUGAGGUGCCAGGGUGGGAAAACAUCCCCUUCUCAGAGGUGAAGGGGAAAGGGGAUAGAUGCCAUGUGAGGGGAAAAAUAGGAGGACAGAGGGGUCCUAUGAAUGGGAUGUAAAGUGAAUAAAUAAACUAAUGGAAAACAUUUAAAAAUAAAACUAUUAUAAAGGCCCAUCAAUAGGAUAAAUUAGUGUACAACUGGUUCCCAAGCCCAGGGUUUUACACUUAGUAGUCUAGCAAUACUACCACUUAGA